UACGGAGGGGGCUAGCGUUGUUCGGAAUCAUUGGGCGUAAAGGGCGCGUAGGCGGCCAAUCAAGUCCGACGUGAAAUUCCUCGGCUCAACCGGGGGCCUGCGUCGGAUACUGCUUGGCUUGAGUCCCGGAGAGGGUAGUGGAAUUCCCAGUGUAGCGGUGAAAUGCGUAGAUACUGGGAGGAACACCGGUGGCGAAGGCGGCUCACUGGCCCGAUACUGACGCUGAGGUGCGAAAGCGUGGGGAGCAAACAGG
rnacentral:rRNA from 1 species